rnacentral:rRNA from 1 species
CGGACUGAAGCGGGAGCGUAAGCGACCGUGGACUGUAUUGGAGAGAGAAUGCAGGCAUAAGUAGCGAGAGCGAAGUGAGAAUCUUUGCCGUCGAAAGCCUAAGGUUUCCUGAGGAAGGUUCGUCCUCUCAGGGUAAGUCGGGACCUAAGCCGAGGACAGUAGUCGUAGGCGAUGGACAACAGGUUGAUAUUCCUGAACCGCAAGCAGGUGAUUGACAGAAGCAGUGACGCAGAAGGAUAGGCGAGUCCGGCGAUGGUAGACCGGAUGAAAGCAGUGAGGCUGGUGUGUAGUGAAGUACGCACACUAAGGCUGGGCUGUGAGAGCUACGAAGACUAGUAGGAAGCUCGCUGAAUUCACGCUGACAAGAAAAGCUGCUAUGGAAUCUGCAGGCGCCCGUACCGCAAACCGACACAGGUGGGCGAGGAGAGAAUCCUAAGACGAACGGGAGAACCCUUGUUAAGGAACUCGGCAAAAUGACCCUGUAACUUCGGGAUAAAGGGAGCCCCUCAAGGGGCCGCAGAGAAUAGGCACAAGCGACUGUUUAGCAAAAACACAGGUCUGUGCGAAGUAGAGAUACGACGUAUACGGGCUGACUCCUGCCCAGUGCCGGAAGGUUAAGGGGAAGUGUUAGGGCAACCGAAGCACGGAACUUAAGCCCCGGUGAACGGCGGCCGUAACUAUAACGGUCCUAAGGUAGCGAAAUUCCUUGUCGGGUAAGUUCCGACCCGCACGAAUGGAGUAACGACUUGUGCACUGUCUCAACAAGGGACCCGGCGAAAUUGUAGUAUGUGUGAAGAUGCACAUUACCCGCGAUAGGACGGAAAGACCCCGUAGAGCUUUACUGUAGUUUGGCAUUGGACUUUGGUAACGGAUGUACAGCAUAGGUGGGAGGCGAUGAAACCAGGACGCCAGUUCUGGCGGAGCCGACGUUGGGAUACCACUCUUUUGUUACUGGGGUUCUAACGGAUGGCCGUAAACCGGCAUCCGAACAGUGCCAGAUGGGCAGUUUGACUGGGGCGGUCGCCUCCGAAAGAGUAACGGAGGCGUUCAAAGGUUCCCUCAGAAUGGUUGGAAACCAUUCGAAGAGUGCAAAGGCAGAAGGGAGCCUGACUGCGAGACGGACACGUCGAGCAGGGAGGAAACUCGGACUUAGUGAUCCGGCGGUAUGAGAGUGGAAUUGCCGUCGCUCAACGGAUAAAAGCUACCUCGGGAUAACAGGCUGAUCUCCCCCAAGAGUUCACAUCGACGGGGAGGUUUGGCACCUCGAUGUCGGCUCGUCGCCUCCUG